GACGAACCGUGCGAUCGUUGUUCGGAAUCACUGGGCUUAAAGGGCGCGUAGGCGGGCUGUCAAGUCUGGGGUGAAAUGCCGCGGCUCAACCGUGGAACUGCCUUAGAUACUGACGGCCUCGAGGAAGGUAGGGGCAUGCGGAACUGUAGGUGGAGCGGUGAAAUGCGUUGAUAUCUACAGGAACUCCGGUGGCGAAAGCGGCGUGCUGGACCUUUUCUGACGCUGAGGCGCGAAAGCUAGGGGAGCAAACGGG
rnacentral:rRNA from 1 species